GUGCUCACUUUGGCAGCACAUAUACUCAAAUUGGAAUGAUACAGAGAUUAGCGUGGCCUCUGUGCAGGGAUGGCGUGCAAAUUCAUGAAGUGUUCCAUAUUUUA
ensembl:snRNA U6 U6 spliceosomal RNA